ACCCCUCCCAGCCAUCCCUCAUUCACGUAGGCGGCGACGGCAGGAGCUGUGAUGCAACCACUACUGAAAAAACUUCUUGUAAGAGGUAUUACCACCUGAAGAGAAACUCACCAUGCAUCAAUCCUGCCAACAGUGUCUGCUGCAGUUUUACCCUGCACUGGAAGACUGGAUACCACCUGCUUCAUUUCACCUCACCUUCCAUGAAAGGAGACACUUCUAUCUUGCACCUCAAGCCACUCUUUCUCAUCAUUGUACACUGCCACACUUGUCAUGUUAUCCCACGUCCUGUGCUCUGCUGUAUAAUACAUUAAUUUAUGAAUAUUGGUUACUUUAUAGAUAAAUUAUAAGAUUAUUCUUGUUUUUCAUAGACUUUAUUUUUUAAAGGAAUACUCAAGCAAGCUUGGGUAACAACUCUGAAACUGCAACAAUAUUAACCUUUUUAGGCACUUUGAAAAAUAAAAUAACAGUAAUUUUAGAAAACCAGGGUGAUA